AUUGACAACCCGACUAUGGCAACAUUUAAAAAAAAAAAAAAAAAAAAAAAAUCCCGCCCCUGCACCUGAAAAUUCGGUCGGACUUGCUGAAAGUGCUUUUCCAAAGAGAAGCUCAGCUAUCUUCAUGCUUACACUUUUGACAAAGAUUCCCAGUUUUUAUGCAUUGUGAAAUUGGUGAAGAUCUAGGGAUGUUUGAUAUUGGGAAUUUCAAGAGUGCAUGUUUACUCCUACAUGACACACAUAACUUGACAAAAAGGCUGAUCACUUUUAGAAGAAAUUUUGGAUCACAAAAGAACAAGGUUGGCACACUGUUGCCUGCUUGCGUCAAGACUUUAAAUGAAUCCUGCAUACAGUUGACAGUAGAAUAGCAAGAAAGAUUAACUUGAGUAGGGUGAUGUAAUGCCAGCAGUGAUUAUAAUAUUUGAACUUGCUCGAUAAUAGCCUGAAGUCAGUUUUCAAUAGCUGAUUCUAAAAUGAGCUGUAUUGGAGCUCAUAUCCAGAAUUUUUAACAAGAGGUGUGGCAGUUCUUAUCAAAUAAUCAGUCUCUUUGCCUCAAUAAAGAAUAUAAAUCUGUAGCCCUUUUUCAAUCUCACUGCUGUAUGUAUGUAUCAUUUGUACAGCAAUACAAGUGUCAAUUUUAGCUUA